AUCGUAUCAGUGCGUCCAGAAGGGGAGGUGACACUUAAAGAUGGAGGUGGCCACUCUGUGGUGGAGCUUCUCUUUUCUCCUGAACAGCACAUGCCUCUCAUCACUGAGGAGUUGCAGCUAGAGUGUCUAGGUGCUUUUCGCCCCCUGCUGGUCAUGAAGGGAUGUUGUCAGGGAGAGGAAGUCAGACUGGACACAGACUACCUGCAGUUUGGAGUUGUUGGAAUGUGACAAGUUGAGCUACUUGUCACAUUAUAAUGCAGAACACAGGAGUAAUUGAUUCAAAUGGGGACGUAAAUAGCUUUGCUCCAGAUUUCAUCAUUUUCCCUGCUGAGGGCUACAUCACCCCAGGAAUGGAAGUAUCCAUUGAAGUGACCUUUGCCCCUACCAAGCUGAGUCAAAGAGUAUGCUGUACUAUAGAGGGGGGCAAACCAUUAAAACUCACCCUCACUGACUCCUGCAUUGUCCGUCCAGUUAAAUAGAAAUAGAAGAAAACACAAGUCUGAAUGUUACAGUGUGUCAAAACCUUGUAUAUUUGUUGAUAUGAGAUGUGCCGAUGAAAUGAAGUUAAAAAGCAAGGCUAAUUCAUUUUCACUGUCUUUUUCUUGCUUGCUUUCUCUUUUGUGUGAGCAGGUGGUGAAUUUCAUGUGUCAGGUACACAGUCAGUGUACUCAGUCUCUGGCUCUACCCAGCCGCAUUAACCAGUGCUGGACUCUGAAAUGUGUCAUAGAGGGAGAGCACUGGAGUGGGCCGCCCACUCUCCUCAUUGAGCCCCUGCAGCAGAACACCUAUGAGAUUGCAUAUAAGCCGUCAGUCAUGACUGCAGAUGGGGAAGGGCAUGAGGUAUGACACUCUCUCCACAAGAUGAUUAUUUCCAAUAAUUAUUUUUUUAAACAAAUGUCCAAAUAGCCAUUAUAAAAAAAAUGGUAGUACAAAAAAACAGUUAUUUUCCACUGUUAAUGACACCUCCCUCUGCUGUGGUGCAGGGCUCUGUGUUCUUCUCCUUUCCUGAUGGCAGUGGAUUACUGUACAUAUUGCAUGGCACAGCUGAGCCCCUGAAGGUUGAAGGCACAAUAACUGAAGCGAUCAAAUGCAAAAGCCACCAAACACAGACAGUAAACAUCCGUAACUGGCUGCCCAGACCUCAGAGGUUCCGUGCUGUGAUCGAGCUCAUCAAACCAGAUCGAUGUGCCUGCACUGGAUAUAAAGAAUUACAAACUCUCCUUCUUUACUUAUAAAGAGGGCCAGUAAAAUGCUAAAGCAAGUGCCAUCAUGCACCUAUAAAAAAUGUGCUAAUGCAGACUACAGUACUUUGGUAAUAAAACAAAUAUAUGACCCA
ensembl:lncRNA